rnacentral:rRNA from 1 species
AGAUUGAACGCUGGCGGCAUGCUUUACACAUGCAAGUCGAACGGUAACAGGCCGCAAGGUGCUGACGAGUGGCGAACGGGUGAGUAAUGUAUCGGAACGUGCCCAGUCGUGGGGGAUAACGCAGCGAAAGCUGCGCUAAUACCGCAUACGAUCUAUGGAUGAAAGCGGGGGACCGUAAGGCCUCGCGCGAUUGGAGCGGCCGAUAUCAGAUUAGGUAGUUGGUGGGGUAAAGGCUCACCAAGCCAACGAUCUGUAGCUGGUCUGAGAGGACGACCAGCCACACUGGGACUGAGACACGGCCCAGACUCCUACGGGAGGCAGCAGUGGGGAAUUUUGGACAAUGGGCGCAAGCCUGAUCCAGCAAUGCCGCGUGCAGGAGAAGGCCUUCGGUUGUAAACUGCUUUUGUACGGAACGAAACGGUCCUGGUUAAUACCUGGGCUAAGUGACGGUACCGUAAGAAUAAGCACCGGCUAACUACGUAGCCAGCAGCCGCGUAAC